rnacentral:tRNA from 1 species
GGAUUGUGGCUCAGUGGUAGAGCACUUGCCUAGCACGUUCGAGGCCCUGGGUUUGAUCCUCAGCACCA